rnacentral:rRNA from 1 species
GAUGAACGCUGGCGGCGUGCCUAAUACAUGCAAGUCGAGCGAAUGGAUUAAGAGCUUGCUCUCAUGAAGUUAGCGGCGGACGGGUGAGUAACACGUGGGUAACCUGCCCAUAAGACUGGGAUAACUCCGGGAAACCGGGGCUAAUACCGGAUCACAUUUUGAACCGCAUGGUUCGAAAUUGAAUGGCGGCUUCGGCUGUCACUUAUGGAUGGACCCGCGUCGCAUUAGCUAGUUGGUGAGGUAACGGCUCACCAAGGCAACGAUGCGUAGCCGACCUGAGAGGGUGAUCGGCCACACUGGGACUGAGACACGGCCCAGACUCCUACGGGAGGCAGCAGUAGGGAAUCUUCCGCAAUGGACGAAAGUCUGACGGAGCAACGCCGCGUGAGUGAUGAAGGCUUUCGGGUCGUAAAACUCUGUUGUUAGGGAAGAACAAGUGCUAGUUGAAUAAGCUGGCACCUUGACGGUACCUAACCAGAAAGCCACGGCUAACUACGUGCCAGCCGCCGCCGUAA